UUUGAGAAGGAAAGGAAAGUUCAUAUUAAUAUAAUAAUUAAAUUAAAAAAAAAAAGAUAUAAUAUUUAUAUAAAAAUAUUUUUAAUCGAAUAUAUCGAAUUGAACAUUUGAAAUUGAAUAUUCUGAAUAGAAAGCAAGAAAAUUGGCGGAAUCCUAUCAUUAUUUGUAUCCGGUUAUACAUAUAUUCACGAUGAAUAGACAUUCUUACGUACUCAAGCCAGGAAAGUCAUCUAAUUCAUGACAGGAUAAUUAUAUCGGAUGUAUUAUACGUAAUAUGUAUACAUUCUCAUGAAUUGGUUUCUCGAUAUUGACAUAAUAAAUAAAGAUAAAAAUUAAAACGUCACUCGCUACUAGACAAUAUAUGUAUUUUGAGCUAAUAUAGCUAUUAAUAAAAUAAACUUAGCAUGCAUAAAGAAGAAACAAACUGUUUUGAAGUGAGAGAAAUCGAUAAGAUGAUACAGCGGUUAUAAGUCAGACAGGAGGCAUCGAAGAGAGA